rnacentral:rRNA from 1 species
GCUUUUUUGAGACCGGCGCACGGGUGAGUAACGCGUAUGCAACCUACCUUAUACAGGGGAAUAGCCCGAAGAAAUUCGGAUUAAUGCUCCAUGGUUUAUCGAUAUGGCAUCGUAUUGAUAAUAAAGAUUUAUCGGUAUAAGAUGGGCAUGCGUAUCAUUAGCUAGUUGGUGUGGUAACGGCAUACCAAGGCAACGAUGAUUAGGGGUCCUGAGAGGGAGAUCCCCCACACUGGUACUGAGACACGGACCAGACUCCUACGGGAGGCAGCAGUGAGGAAUAUUGGUCAAUGGAGGCAACUCUGAACCAGCCAUGCCGCGUGCAGGAUGACGGUCCUAUGGAUUGUAAACUGCUUUUGUACAGGAAGAAACCUCCCUACGAGUAGGGACUUGACGGUACUGUAAGAAUAAGGAUCGGCUAACUCCGUGCCAGCAGCCGCGGUAAUACGGAGGAUCCGAGCGUUAUCCGGAAUUAUUGGGUUUAAAGGGUUCGUAGGCGGCCUUGUAAGUCAGUGGUGAAAUUUCCUAGCUUAACUAAGACACUGCCAUUGAUACUGUUUAACUUGAAUAAUAUGGAAGUAACUAGAAUAUGUAGUGUAGCGGUGAAAUGCUUAGAUAUUACAUGGAAUACCAAUUGCGAAGGCAGGUUACUACGUAUUUAUUGACGCUGAUGAACGAAAGCGUGGGGAGCGAACAGGAUUAGAUACCCUGGUAGUCCACGCCGUAAACGAUGGAUACUAGCUGUUCGGUUUUCGGUCUGAGUGGCUAAGCGAAAGUGAUAAGUAUCCCACCUGGGGAGUACGUUCGCAAGAAUGAAACUCAAAGGAAUUGACGGGGGCCCGCACAAGCGGUGGAGCAUGUGGUUUAAUUCGAUGAUACGCGAGGAACCUUACCAGGGCUUAAAUGUAGAUUGACAGAUUUGGAAACAGAUUUUUCUUCGGACAAUUUACAAGGUGCUGCAUGGUUGUCGUCAGCUCGUGCCGUGAGGUGUCAGGUUAAGUCCUAUAACGAGCGCAACCCCUAUUGUUAGUUACCAGCGCGUAGUGGCGGGGACUCUAGCAAGACUGCCGGUGCAAACCGUGAGGAAGGUGGGGAUGACGUCAAAUCAUCACGGCCCUUACGUCCUGGGCUACACACGUGCUACAAUGGCAAGUACAGAAAGCAGCUACCUGGCAACAGGAUGCGAAUCUCCAAAGCUUGUCUCAGUUCGGAUUGGAGUCUGCAACUCGACUCUAUGAAGCUGGAAUCGCUAGUAAUCGGAUAUCAGCCAUGAUCCGGUGAAUACGUUCCCGGGCCUUGUACACACCGCCC